UACGUAGGGUGCGAGCGUUGUCCGGAUUUAUUGGGCGUAAAGGGCUCGUAGGCGGCUUGUCGCGUCGAAUGUGAAAACUCGGGGCUCAACUCCGAGCUUGCAUUCGAUACGGGCAGGCUAGAGUUCGGUAGGGGAGACUGGAAUUCCUGGUGUAGCGGUGAAAUGCGCAGAUAUCAGGAGGAACACCGGUGGCGAAGGCGGGUCUCUGGGCCGAUAUUGACGCUGAGGAGCGAAAGCGUGGGGAGCGAACAGG
rnacentral:rRNA from 1 species